CAGCAGCCGCGGUAAUACGGAGGGGGCUAGCGUUGUUCGGAAUUACUGGGCGUAAAGCGCACGUAGGCGGCUUGGUAAGUUAGAGGUGAAAGCCCGGAGCUCAACUCCGGAAUUGCCUUUAAGACUGCCGAGCUAGCAGGUGAGAGAGGUAAGUGGAAUUCCGAGUGUAGAGGUGAAAUUCGUAGAUAUUCGGAAGAACACCAGUGGCGAAGGCGGCUUACUGGCUCAUACUGGACGCUGAGGUGCGAAAGCGUGGGGAGCAAACAGGAUUAGAUACCCGUGUAGUCCCUGUCUCUUAUAA
rnacentral:rRNA from 1 species